CAGCACAAAGCCCUGAGGACCCCCAAUCUGUGCAUCUCAUAGAUUUAUUUGACAACGAUCCUCCAGCUGAUGCAUUCACAUGACUCUUAGAUGUUGGAUUAAGCCCAUCAAAGAAAAUAUUCAUCUGUGUAUCUGAAUCAAUAUUAACAUGUGGACACUUUAUGUACAUCUCUGUAUAUCUUUCCCAUGCUUCAUGAAACUCUUCAUUAGGCUUCUGUGUAAAUGUCAAAAUCUCUCUCUUGUAAUUCAAUGUCUUGGAUGCUGGAUAAUAUUUGUUCAGGAAUUUUGUGUG